rnacentral:rRNA from 1 species
UCGUGGAGUGAUUUGUCUGCUUAAUUGCGAUAACGAACGAGACCUUAACCUGCUAAAUAGCCAGGCUAGCUUUGGCUGGUCGCCGGCUUCUUAGAGGGACUAUCGGCUCAAGCCGAUGGAAGUUUGAGGCAAUAACA